CCUACGGGAGGCAGCAGUGAGGAAUAUUGGUCAAUGGACGAGAGUCUGAACCAGCCAAGUAGCGUGAAGGAUGACUGCCCUAUGGGUUGUAAACUUCUUUUAUCUGGGAAUAAAGCGUUCCACGUGUGGGAUUUUGUAUGUACCAUAUGAAUAAGGAUCGGCUAACUCCGUGCCAGCAGCCGCGGUAAUACGGAGGAUCCGAGCGUUAUCCGGAUUUAUUGGGUUUAAAGGGAGCGUAGGUGGAUUGUUAAGUCAGUUGUUAAAGUUUGGGGCUCAACCGUAAAAUUGCAGUUGAAACUGGCAGUCUUGAGUGCAGUAGAGGUAGGCGGAAUGCGUGGUGUAGCGGUGAAAUGCUUAGAUAUCACGAAGAACUCCGAUUGCGAAGGCAGUUCACUGGACUGCAACUGACGCUGAGGCACGAAAGUGUGGGUAUCAAACAGGAUUAGAUACCCGUGUAGUC
rnacentral:rRNA from 1 species